rnacentral:ncRNA from 1 species
AGAAUCAUGCGCCCUCGCUGUUCGAAUUAUAGUAUGGAGAAGCGUCCUCAGCAGUAGACCGGGACCAAGUCCCCCGGAAAGGGGCACCAGAGAGGGUGAGAGCUCUGUCGUGCCCAGACCCUAUCGCACCACGAGGCGCUGUCUACGAGUCGGGUUGUUUGGGAAUGCAGCCCAAAUCGGGUGGUAAAUUUCGUCUAAGGCUAAAUACGGGGGAGAGACCGAUAGCAAACAAGUACCACGAGGGAAAGAUGAAAUGGACUUUGGAAAGAGAGUCAAUAAGUGCUUGAAAUUUUCAAGAGGGAAGGGGAUGGGGCCGAUGAUGUGCCCCAGUCGGAUGUGGAACGGCCAAAAGCCGGUUCACCGAUCGGCUCGAGGUGGAGACUGAUGCGGAUUGCAGCGGCGGCCCAAGCCUAAGCUUUUGAUAUGCCUGCGGAGAUGUCGUCACAGCGAUUGUAGACUGCAGCGCGCGCUGUCACGGCGUACUUCGGUACCUUCACACUCCGGGCGUGGGCCAGCGGGCUCCCCAUUUGGCCCGUCUUGAAACACGGACCAAGGAGUCUGACAUGUAUGCGAGUGAAAGGGCGAGUAAACCCGUAAGGCGUAAGGAAGCUGACUGGCGGGAUCCCCUCAUGGGUUGCACCGCCGACCGACCUUGAUCUUCUGAGAAGGGUUUGAGUGAGAGCUUGCCUAUCGGGACCCGAAAGAUGGUGAACUAUGCCUGAGCGGGGCGAAGCCAGAGAAAAUUCUGGUGGAGGCCCGCAGGGAUACUGAUGUGCAAAUCGUUUGUUUGACUUGGGUAUAGGGGCGAAAGACUAAUCGAACCGUCUAGUAGCUGGUUCCCUCCGAAGUUUCCCUUAGGAUAGUUGGAGCUCGGGACGAGUUCUAUCGAGUAAAGCAAUGAUUAGAGGCAUCGGGGGUGCAACGCCCUCGACUAAUUCUCAAACUUUAAAUAGGUAGGACGGCACGGCUGCUUUGUUGAGCAGGGCCACGGAAUCGAGAGCUCAAAUUGGGCAAUUUUUCGUAAGCAGAACUGGCGAUGCGGGAUGAAUAGGAAGCCGGGUUACAAUGCCUAACUGCACGCUAACCAAGAAACCACAAAGGGUGUUGGUCGAUUAACCUAGAACCCACAGCAGGAUGGUGGUCAUGGAAGUUGAAAUCCGCUAAGGAGUGUGUAACAACUUACCUGCUGAAUCAACUAGCCUCGAAAAUGGAUGGCACUUAAGAGCGCGACCUAUACCCGGCUGUCGGGGCAAGAGCCAGGCCCCGAUGAGUAGGAGGGCACGGCGGUCGCCGAGGGCGCGAGGCAGGGUGGAGCGGCCGUCAGUGCUGAUCUUGGUGGUAGUAGCAAAUAUUCAAAUGAGAACUUUAAAGGUCAAAGAGGGGAAAGGAUCCAUAUGAAUGGCACUUGCACAUGGGUUAGUCGAUCCUAAGAGACGGGGGAAGCCCGUUCAAUAGCGCGUCCGAGCGCUAUCUUUUAGACCAAAGACAACUUUAAAAUCAUCCAUAGGCACAACAGUAAAGUCUAGCGUACCUUGCCAAUCACCAACUUGCACCUUCACAUUUUCCGCGAUGCCAUGCACAGGCUUUGCCUCUGAAUUGACAGCCUUAAUUGUGCCGACUCCUUUGGGCAGCUUCAAGCCUAGGCGCUUCGCCUCGUGCACCUCCAGGAAGU